AUGAUUUCUAAUGACUUAACCUCUACUCCUAGUGUGUUUUCUUCUUUGGUGCUAGGUCCCAUAUAUGAUGACGCGCCGAUUCGCGAUGACUACGUCCUCCCUUUGGACAUGACGAUGGCCAUGGUGGAACAUGAUGCACCCCCCACAUGGUUCCAUCAAGAUGAAGAUGACCACCAUUUGGUCUUUCCCACCUCACCCACACCACUUGAGUGGAAUGGCAAAGGUAACAAAGGUGAUGGUGAUGCUCUAGUCCCACUAGUGGACAUUCUUGAGAUUGAUUGCUUGCAUGAUGUUGAUCCACCUAUUACCAUACUUCAUUCUAGUAUGAUUUCCCCACGCGAUGAUUUGCCCAUUUAUGAUGAGUUUGAUGAUUGCCAUGAGGAGUCUAAUAGUCGUGAUGCCAUGUUACAUAGGAUUUCUUGUGAUAAUUCUCUUGGUCACAUCAUGUUUGAUAAUCCGCUUGACUUGUCAUAUGCUAUGCAUGAGAUCAACCAUAUGUCUUAUUUGCAAUCUCUUCAUAGUGACUAUGCAUAUGCCAUUAAAAUAAACCCAAUUUGCACAUAUGGCAUAGAUGACAAGCCCAUGGUUAUUGGCAUUUGUUUUUAUUGUGAUGAUAUUGAUAUGCUCCCUUUGCAUCAUUUAUCUAAUAUGCCAUGCCAUGACCACCUAGCUUUGGAUAUGCAUUGUUUACCAUGUUGCCCAUUUUCUCCAUAUUAUGCUUUCGAUAUUGCUAAUGAGGAGACCCCCAUAGUUUACUCAUACCCAUUAGGAGAUUUUGAUCCAUCCUAUGAUUUGCAUGAUUUCCAUGAUUGCGUGCACCAUAUGCAUAAGAUGAAUAACAAUGCUCUCGACAUUUCUCAUGGUGCCUUACAUCCUUUGAGUCUCCAUUAUGCAAUAAAUACUAACAAACCUCUCAUGAUGGAUGACAUGUUUCUAUAUCACGCAUCUCAUUUAUUUGAGCAUUGGCUAUUUCGUGCUCACCGACACAUGCACGUAUGCAUCAUGAUGGAUGAUGUGUACAUCUACCACGCACACACAAUUUUUCCUUUGUCUUUGUUUUGUGUAGGUACUCAUGUAUACUCGUCAACCUCUCAAUCCCAAGAGUUGACGAAACGAGCUCUUGAGAGCAACGAUGCUUUGGGAUCCCGUGGACUACCCUCACCAACGUCCCCUUCGCGCAAGGACUACGCGCAACUCCUCUACUUGGCUCUCACACGGCUAUGUGCCAUUUACCACUUCUCACAUUAUGCUCAUUUUACCGUGUUCACUUUGCGUGCUAUGCUUGCUCCUAUGCCUUUACCAUGCAAUUGUGACCCUUGCUUGCAUUUACCCAUGAUGCACCAUUAUGAUAUUCCUAUGUGUAUUUGCAUGCUUGGUGGAGAUCUUUGUUGCUAUUGCCAUGUUUAUCAUGUGCCCCAUGCCAUUCUACUCAUAUCUUGCUUUUAUGCUUGUGCUAUGUCAUGUGAUUUACUCAUGCCCACUAUUUGUACACAUGACAUGAUUGCCAUGAUUUCUUCUAGUAUGUUACAUCUUCGCACUACUAGCAUGCUUGACUUGAUCACUAUGAUAGCUAGCCAUGUUGCAUCACCCAUGUUCCACUAUUACUUGCUUUCUUGGGUUGAUGACAUAUAUGCCUUGUGUGUUGCAUCUAGUUCUUCACAUAUGCCAUGUCCCUUUGCUUAUCACAUGCUUGACUUGAUUGCCUCACACAUGUUGAACAAUUGCUCUUUUCAUUGUGUUGAGUGCCACGAUAUCUUCACUACACCCUAUGCACGUUAUGCUCGGAUUGUCUUGCACUUGCCCCAUGUGUUUAGACAUUUCACUAUACUUGGUGUUGUGAAUGAUUCCUAUGCAUACCAUAGACCAUUUGUUGAGCACUUUGCGCAUUCUUGCUAUGACCUUGAGGUAGAUGCUUGUUCACUUAUCACAUAUAUUUGCAUCUUGACCUCCCAUUUGCAUGCUUGUUCCCAUGAUAUACUUGAUUGUGCUCAAUUUAUAUGCUCAAAUGCCAUGACACACUUCUUUGUCAAACCAUAUGCUAUGCUUGAUGACAACACUUGUUGGGUGAAACACCUCUUGAAUGCUUGGUUUUGCUCUUACGACAACCACAUUUGUUUUUCCAAGUGCUUGUUAUCUUUGCUCCUUUUGAAGGAAUUACAAGAUGGUGCAACAUUGGAGAGUGCCCAUUUGGAACUACAAGAUGACGAAUGCUUGGUGAUCGUCCACUUCUACACGACGCCAUCAUCUCUUUCCCAUGGUGAUUUGGAUUUUGAUCCGAGGUUGGAUCUUUCCCAAGGGGGAGGGGAUGAUGCGGAGCAUCCCAUGGACAUCACCAUGUCAAGAGUCCAUUUGACAAGUGACACGUGCCACAUCUACUUCAUGCAUACAAAGGUGAAUCAUCUCCUUUACACGUGUCCACUUGUACCCUUCGAGGAUGGUAUACGACUUGACCCCUCUCUCGUGUGCAUACUUAGGUGUGAGCGGAGCUACACAUUCAUCAUGGAGGAGUCCAAGCGCAAGAGAACUACUACACCAUCCAAGAGGGAAGCUUGGAAGCGGAGAGGGAAGCGCCAAGAAGAAGGCAGCAGCUCCCAGGCAACCCCGUGCGCACGGGCCCCUCCGACCCCGUGCCCACGGGCCUCCCAGGCUGGCGGUCCUGAAGACCCCGUGCGCACGGGCGUGUACCGUGCCCACGGGACCCCCGUGUCCACGGGCCUCACGGACCCCGUGCGCACGGGCCCUUGCGUCAGGUCCCUGGAUACCCUGUGCGCACGGGCUCCACUUACCCCGUGCACACGGGGCCCCCUGUGUGAUGCUGCGGGCUUUGCCCAUGUUUUACCAUUUCGCUCCCACCUAUUCCCCUCUUUGCCUAGGACUAUAUAUAUUCCUUCAUCUCCUCCAUUUAGACGAAGCAAAGGAUAUGUUAGACAUAUGAGAGCUUUGCUCCAUGGAUCCACUCCACUAGGAGAUCAAGAUCUCCUCUUGGAGUGA
rnacentral:rRNA from 1 species